rnacentral:rRNA from 1 species
CUCACCAGGUCAGGACACGGUAAGGAUUGACGGACUGAAGGCUCUUUCUCGAUUCCGUGGAAAGUGGUGCAUGGCCGUUUUUGGUUGGUGGAUCGAUCCGUCUGGUUAAUUCCGUUAACGAACGAGACCUCGGCACUCCGAAUAGCGCGGCGGACGUCGCGGCCUCCGGGCCGUCUUCCGCACGAGCUUCUUAGAGGGACCGUCCCCCGCCGGGGGAAGGAGGUGCGAGGCAACGACAGGUCUGUGAUGCCCUUAGAUGUUCUGGGCCGCACGCGCAUUACACUGACGCGUCCAACGGGUGACUCCCGACCCGAAGGGGCCGGGGAAUCCGCAAGGCGCGUCGUGAUGGGGAUUGAACGUUGCAAUUGUUGUUCACGAACGAGGAAUUCCUAGUAGGCGCGGGUCAUCAACCCCGCGCCGAUUACGUCCCUGCCCUUUGUACACACCGCG